UUAAAAACAAAAUGCAAAAAAAAAAAGAAAACUAGGCUCCAAAGUCUGUGAUCUUAACCUUAAAUCACCUUACUUAGCCACCUCCUUCAAAAAAUGCAGGAUAAAGUCAUCAUUGAUGCAAUAGCUAUGAAGACCACAGUCAUCUACCAUGGGGUAUUUGCAGAAAAAGGACACAGGCGGUAACACUGAGAAAGGCUGACGGCGCCCUGCCCCCACGCCGGUCCCGCCAGCGGUCCCCAGAGGGCGCUCUAACGCUCCCGGCUGCAGGUGGUUUGAUCAUCACAAAGUGGCCGCUGUCAGUCCUCUUGGAGCUCAGCCGCCUUGAACUCCGGGACCUUCUCCUCCACCUUCUUGCAAACACCCAGAUGUCUCCAACACCCUCCUUUUUCUCGGGAAUUAUAUCCAGGACUCAGCGCAAGCUUGCCAGCUCCUCACACCACAUCUAAUCUUGCUAAGGGCCAGCUCAAAAUGUUGCUAGUUUUCCAAAAAUAUCAGCCAGCUUUGUCGCCUGCUUCCUUUCCCUCAGAUGACCCUCUGACCACACCUGAGAAGCCCCGAGUUAGUUUCUAACACAGCUCCAAGCGUCAUACGCUUGUCAAUUGCACUUCCUCCUGGUUCCAGGUGAAAGUCCUUCUGAAGCUGGUGGGAGAUUCUGGCUGGUUGCAAGUCUGAGCUCAAGAUGCCAGCAAAGUCAAGUUCUGGGGAGAGCCCAUCAUCUUUUCGAGUCCUCACCUGGAAAAGGGGCAAGGGAUCUCUCUGGGGCCUCGUAUAUAAGGACCCUAAUUCCAACCCUGCAGCCUCCACCAUCUUGAGCUAAUCACCUCCCAAAGGCCCCACCUCCUAACACCAUCCACCUUGGGCACUAGAAUUUGACAUGAGGUUUAGUGGGACCUGGGCUUCAAUGGCACCCCACUCCAGUACUCUUGGCCUGGAAAAUCCCAUGGAUGGAGGAGCCUGGUGGGUUGCAGUCCAUGGGGUCGCUAAGAGUCAGACAUGACUGAGCGACU